AGACUUAUGACUUUCGCCACCCUUUCCUGCAGUCACGGGCUCAGCCCAAACUCCAGGCUCCUGUAUUGCUUGUCAACCUCACUUUCAGAUGAAAGGGAGUCACAGAUUUCCUCUUCAGCCACAUCCCUUUGAAACGUAUACAUCCUGGCGUGGAAGCGGAAGGCAAAGUCACAGCUUGGAAUGGUCCUCCUGAAUUUUGCUACAGCCAAAAAAGAAAUAUCCCACCAGGAGAGGACCUUCCUGCCACCUCAAGAAGGAACUUUGCCCAAGUCUGUGAAACAUGGAGGCAUCCCUAUGUGGCAGAUGGUGACCAGCUGAAAGGCCUUCUCAAUUGUGCAUUCAACUUGCACUGUGACUUUUCCAAGGAAGCUCAUCUGUCAUCAAAUCUGACAUUUUUCUGGCAGUUUUUUUUAAAUUGCCUAGGCCCAUCACAAAUUGAUUUAAAUCUAGUUAUUUAAAUGCCUUCCGUUGCUACUAUUGUAUUUAACUGCUGUACUGUAUCUCAUUUUUUUCUUUGCUCAUUAUGGGUUCAUUUCUUUCUAAAUUUUAGUUUGGUUUUCAGAACACUGUGUAAAUUGCCUUGAGAAACUGCCAGCUGGAGGACAGUAUCAAAUGUUUAAUAAAAUAAGCAAUGACAUCAAAUUAUCCC
rnacentral:lncRNA from 11 species